UUUUUAAUAGAACUGUUCAUCAAACCACUGGAAUGGAGGAAGAGGUUUCUUUACUCAAGGUUCCCAAGAAGUCUUAAAUUGAACUGUUCAGCAAACCCUCGUAAUGGAGGAAGGAGGUCUCUUUACUUGAGCUUCCCAAGAAGUUUUAAAUAGAACUGUUCUUCAAACCCUUGGAAUGUAGGAAGAGGUCUCAAGGUUACCAAGAAGUUUAAGAUAGAACUGUUUGUCAAACCCUUGGAAUGGAG